GGGGGGGGGGGGGGGGGUGGGACAGGUGGGAGAUGGGGGACAGAUGGGGGACAGGUGAGAUGGGUGAGGGACAGCUGAAGGACAGGUGAGACAGGUGAGGGACAGGUAGAUGGGGGACAGGUGAAACGGGUGAGAGAUGGGGGACAGGUGGGACAGGUGAGACAGGUGAAGGACAGGUGGGACAGGUGAGACAGGUGAAGGACAGGUGGGAGAUGGGGGACAGGUGAGAUGGGUGAGGGACAGCUGAAGGACAGGUGAGACAGGUGGGACAGGUGAGAGACAGGCGAGAGAUGGGGGACAGGUGGAACAGGUGAGGGACAGGUGGGUCAGGUGGGACGGGUGUGGGACAGGUGGGAGAUGGGGGACAGGUGAGGGACAGGUGAGGGAUGGGGGACAGGUGAGACAGGUGAGACAGGUGAGGGACAGGUGAGGGACAGGUGAGACAAGUGAGAGAUGGGGGACACCUGAGGGACAGGUGAGACAGGUAAGAGAUGGGGGACAGGUGAGACAGGUGAAGGACAGGUGG
rnacentral:lncRNA from 12 species